GAAGGUAUAACUCAGUGAUAGAGUGGAUGCCUAACAUGCAUUGGGUCCUGGGUUCAAUCCCCAGCACAGCCA
rnacentral:tRNA from 1 species